rnacentral:rRNA from 1 species
UACGUAGGGUGCAAGCGUUGUCCGGAAUUAUUGGGCGUAAAGAGCUCGUAGGCGGUUUGUCGCGUCGGCUGUGAAAGCCCGGAGCUCAACUCCGGGUCUGCAGUCGAUACGGGCAGGCUAGAGUCCGGCAGGGGAGACUGGAAUUCCUGGUGUAGCGGUGAAAUGCGCAGAUAUCAGGAGGAACACCGGUGGCGAAGGCGGGUCUCUGGGCCGUAACUGACGCUGAGGAGCGAAAGCAUGGGGAGCGAACAGG